ACACGACUACAUUAGAUACCCGGGUAGUCCUAGCCGCAAACGACACUCGCUAGGUGUCGGCCACGGUGCGACCGUUGUCGGUGCCGUAGGGAAGCCGUGAAGCGAGCCACCUGGGAAGUACGGCCGCAAGGCUGAAACUUAAAGGAAUUGGCGGGGAGCACCACAACGGGUGGAGCUUGCGGUUUAAUUGGAUUCAACGCCGGAAAUCUUACCGGGACCGACAGCAACAUGAAGGCCAGGCUGAAGACUUUGCCGGAUUAGCUG
rnacentral:rRNA from 1 species